AGACGAUCUUCGAGAAGAAGUUCUUCCUUGAAGAAUUCUUAUUUGAUUUAAGAUCAUCUUGGCGAAGAUAUUCUUAAGAAUGUCGUGUAACGAAAAAACAUCUAGCAGUAAGAACAAACAUUAUACAUUAAUGGAACGAAAAGUAUUUCUAUAGAUACUAAAUGAUUAUAAACACGUAAUCGAAUUAAAAAAAAAGCGAUGGUGCAACAUUAAAAGAAAAAGACGUUGUAUGAAAGAUUUGCAACAAAUACAAUCACUCAACGUUAAUUUCUCAAGAUAGGAGACUGUUCAGCAAUUAAAAAAACUAUGGACAAACAUAAAGCAAACCCAAAGAGAAGCAAUAACAAAGGAAAAACAAUCUCGUCUAGAGACGGAUGGUGAAACAGAAGCGAAAGAAAAUAUCGACCUUGACAUUGCUAAUAUAACACCUACGCUUAUAAAAACUGCACCAAUUUUACUCUAUAAUAUGACAA